AAUGCCAAAAUCAGAAUUAAAAAUUGAUAAAAUAUAAAUCGUUUGGAGGCCUAAGUUUGCCAAACAGUGCUCCGGAGUAUUGGAAAUGCUCUGCGUGAGCUCGAGUUCAAAACGGUUAAAAAAAUAUACUUGUACAAAUGUUAAUUAAAUAAUUUUUGAAUGCAUUAUUUGCAACUCUGGUCGGGAAUAAGUAAAGUGGAAGAGAAAAUUGUGAUUGACACUUGAUAUUUGGAAAUGAAGCACCAAACCCAGAAUUAUCGCCUGUUUCUAGGCAGCGCAGUAAAUUGUUACAGGAAGUACUUGUACUCGUAUAUUUUCUUAUGGACGAAAAGUUUUUCGGUAAAUUUAAAUAAAUUGGCAACUUACGUGGCGAGUUCCUCAAUGCCUAGGGAGUGGAGCACCGUCGGUAAACUUGGUAAGGAGUGGCAUGUAGUAAGUUCCUUUUGGCGCGGGUAAUAUAGUGUCAGUACCGUACAACUCUCCUCUUUCAUAGUCAGGCCACCUGCAACGAUAGACGAUAAAACAAAAGGUACACAUAUGUUAGUUAGUUACACAAGAGUCACGAGAUCUUGUAUAUAAAUUGAAUAUUCUGCUCAUACCAUUUGUAUGUGUGGUAUAAAAGGAUGAAACGGAAAACACGUCAAUGAAAGCGGUGCUUUCGAAGCGCUUGAACAAAGCAAUAUGGAAAGGGUUGCGUGCCUAUGGAAGUGUUGUAGGCAGUUUAUUGCUGUGUGCAGCCAUAGAGCCGAUACAUACACACCUGUAAUACGAUUCUUCUGUAAUGGCUACUUACCAAGGGUAAUUGCUUUUCGUGUGGAGCUGUCGUAAAUACACUCAGC